AGCAGCCGCGGUAAUUCCAGCUCCAAUAGCGUAUAUUAAAGUUGUUGCAGUUAAAAAGCUCGUAGUUGAAUUUCGGGAUCAAUAUGUUGGUCGUGCCUCGGUACGUACUAGCAUAUUGGUUUCUCCUUUCUGAAGAACCAUGAUGUCAUUUAUUUGGUGUCGUGGGGAAUCAGGACUGUUACUUUGAAAAAAUUAGAGUGUUUAAAGCAAGCUAACGCUUGAAUACAUUAGCAUGGAAUAAUGAAAUAGGACGUUCGAUCCUAUUUUGUUGGUUUCUAGGAUUGACGCAAUGAUUAAUAGGGAUAGUUGGGGGCAUUAGUAUUCAAUUGUCAGAGGUGAAAUUCUUGGAUUUAUUGAAGACUAACUACUGCGAAAGCAUUUGCCAAGGAUGUUUUCAUUAAUCAAGAACGAAAGUUGGGGGAUCGAAGACGAUCAGAUACCGUCGUAGUCUUAACCAUAAACUAUGCCGACUAGGGAUCGGAUGAUGUUAAUUUUUUCAAUGACUCAUUCGGCGCCUUAC
rnacentral:misc_RNA from 1 species